rnacentral:tRNA from 1 species
GCUUCCAUCGUUUAAUUAGGCAAGACACUGUUUUUUCAUGACAGUAAUGUGAGUUCAAUUCUCAUUGGAAGUA